UUCCUCUGUCCCAGCAUGGGACAGCCAAGACAACACCUGUCCUUGGGAAGAGGGAUCUGCUGAAAGAGGCAGCAAUGUCCUGAUGGAAAACAAAGAGGGAAAUGGAUACUGCCAGCCAUUGACUUUCUGCUACUUCUGUUUCCAUCCCUACAGGGCCUGGAGUCCACUAGGACUAGAAGCAAACCACAGCACAGUCAGAAGAGGCAGAAUGAGAGAAAUCCCUGGAUACAGAUUGUCCUGCACAGACAUACGGUGUGGGCAAAACGCUGGAGUGAUGACAUCCAGGCAUGCUGAAAACAGAUCCCAUCCCACUUUCUUUAAGUCCCUACAAUGUGAUUUCCUCUCCCUUGUGUUCAGUGAGCAUGAGCUGGGGAGAAAGAGGGACACUCAUGAGCACAGGUGAAGUGUGAAAGUGCUGUCAAAGGCUCUUGAGUUUGUUGCCCAAUGCAAACUUCACUCUCCGCUCUGCUUCUUAGAGCAGCAUGGUCAGCCUUGUAACCUGUCUAGUUAGAAAGAAAUUCCAGGACCAGCAUCUCCAUGUCAUUGUCACAGAACCACCUUCAGGCCUCCUGCUUGGGUCCUCCACUCCUUCCACCCUGGACCAAGCUGAACAGGACCUCCUGGCCAGUUGCAAUAACAGGAAAAGAAGCAUGGUUGCAAGCCUCUGGCCUCCAUUUCAGGCCCAUUGGUCUUCUUUUCUGCCCAGAGAGAAGCAACUGAAGCAAACCCAGUUGGACCAUGUGGGAAUCAACCAGCAAAGUUCAAGAAGGCAUCUCCUUGGGGCAGGUACCCUAGCAGAAGUCUUGGCAAGUUUUCCUCUUGUCCUAAAGGAGCUUGAUGCAGAAGAAACAGGGGAGUCAAAGACUGCCUAGGGCAGCAGCCUGCAGCUGUGACCAGGCUCUUUCUAUUUAGGAUGCUGAGACGCUGCCUUCACCUCUUUCAUUUCCCCCAUGCCUGCUAAACUGUUUAGCAUUAUGCCUGGAAGAGUGAAUGGCAGCCAUUGCCUAAGCCUUCCUCUUAGGUAUCAGUUAGUAUUUGCAGGAAUCUUUCAAAAAGGAUGCUGUUUCACCAUGGAUUGCCUGAAUUCACUUCCACCGGGAAAUAAGUAUUUAGUAUCAGUGUCCUUAUAUUCUAGAAAAAAAUAUUUUGUUGAGUGCCUUGAUUCUGCCUUAAAAACAUGCAUGGCAAUGUGAGACCUAGCUACUAAAAGAUCACUUUCUGGUCUAAUGCUUUUUCUUGCCAGAUUCUGUAACUCAUACAGAAUGGAAUAGUAUCCCCCUCAGGAUAAAUGGCAUUAUUUUUAUUCUGGAAUCAGGGUAUUAACAUAUAGCACUUUCCAGGUUAAAAAAAAAAACACCAUCACCCCAAAACAACAGAGGCUGGGAUAGUGACAGACCCUUUCCCGGGAGAUAGAAAAAUCAUGUGGAAUAGAGCUACAUUUAUGACUCUUCUAGAAAGAAUAAUGAUAUAGGAUAGAUUCUGAAGUUCCCUGACUUGCUCAUGAUUUUCCCAACAAAAAAGAACUCAAAUCGCUCCUUGCAGGAUUUUCAGCUUGCAAGUGCUGUGUUGGUCAUGCUGUCAUUAUGGUAGGGCCUGCCUAGACAGAUCAGUUUGCUUUGUAGCCUGUGAUGGACAGUCUGACAGAGAAUGCCCAGCCUCUGCUGUAGCAGCAUUUCUGCUGCCCUCUGUGUAAAAUGAGAGCUCACAGGAAUGUUAACAUAGGACAAGCAGAAAUGUCAGAACAUUGCUCUGUAGCAAAACUGCUCAUCCCUACAAUUCUGCUAGGAUGUGGUUGGACACUGAACCCUGGAGAUGGUAGGAGCACAUUUUCCAUAUUAAAAGGUUAUUUAUCAAUUCAGUGUAGAUCUGCUAAGGUGCAUGCUUUCAAUGUUAUGUGCAGAAUGUGCUCAGUCUGUAUUUUUGAUGUGUCAUCUGGUUAGGAAAUGUGCAAUUAACCUAACAUUUCUGAUAAAUGUGGCUGAAGGAAUGGGCUGAGAAAAUUGCUGGAAGCAGUAAAUGAUUUCCCAGGAAGAACUACUGAGGAUCAUAACUGAUGAGACUUAAAACCUGCAGGUUAAAAAGCAGUGUGGGCCAUCCAUUCUUUACCAUGGCAAAUGUAAGCAAAAAUUUCUGGGUCUACGUGUGAGCACUUGUGAAGACAAGCUGAUGUCACAGGCUGACCAUGAAGGGGCUAUAAUGGCCUUGUUAUCGCCUGCUCCUUCUACUCUAUUCAGAAACUAAUUUCUGCUGAUUUUAAUGCAGUUGUGAUUUACCUUCACUGCAUGUCAAGGAAAGUGAAUGCGUCUGUCCUAGGGGGAACUUUGAUGACAAAUUUGUGUUUCCCACAGAGUGGUAUUCUUGGAAGUCCUCAGAAUGAGUUAACUGAACAUGAGAGGCAAAUAAACCCCACAAUCUGGGAUUAGAGGAUGAGCAGCUUUCAAAUGUGCACCACAGGUGCACCAUUACUUACACUCCUCCUGUCUCCACAGCUAACAUCAGCGGAAGAGAUCUGGGCAGUAGAUUCAGGCCAAGGAGAUGAUACUCAGGAUGCCCUUUCUAUCACCCACCAAAGCAGCUGAGGGGCUCCUGUUACAGAGCAGGUGAGUGGGGUGGGCAAACUGGGAGACCACUGGGUAGAAAAAGGUAAUUGAAACAGCACAUAGCCGGAAGAGGAGGAAGGAAGGGCAAAGAAAAGAAACUAAGGAAGGAGCAUGGUAUUAACCCCUGCAGGCAAUGUAGCACAACCUAAAAUAAGCUGUACUUGUGAGAUCAAAGGUCCAUAUAGCCCAACUUUCUGUCUUUGAAAGUGAUGCCCAGGAAAGAGUGGCAUCUUGCCUAAGGCAACAUAGAGCAGCGCUUCUCUAAAACUCUUCCAACUCCCAGUAACUUCUAGUUAGGGAAGCCCUGAGCAGGACACGAUGUCUGGGUGUUUAAGAGCUCAUGGUGGAUUUUUAACUGACAAAUUUGUUCAAACACUUUUUGAACCCAUGACCUGUUCUCCGAAUGUAUAGCAUGCUACUGUGAUCCUCUACUGAGGCUAACUCAUAGAAAGCAAACAUCCACGUAUGCAGUUCAAUUCACUUUGUUAUUAUCUUUGACUAAGUGUUACAAAUACAUAUCUUCUUCGCACCUCAUCCAAAUUUUCAUAUGAAGUCACAUAUUUGAGGAAGUAAAAAUAGCGAUUAAACUGCAGAGAGCAUCUCCCAGGUGACAAGGUAGACUAUGCUAUAGUUAAUCUGCAGUACAUAUUUAUACAUAUAUAUAUCUUUUAGUAUUUUCAAGGGAAAUUUUUUUCCAAACACUAAGGCUCCUAUCACUUCAGAGACUCCACCACAGCCUCCUAUGUAACAUUAGCAGAUAGAUUUCCUUGGUGGUCAGCCUAAAAGUUUCCUUAAUUGCUCUCUGCAUCCAUCUGAGAUGCCCAGGGAAGGAUACAAGUCCCUGCUCCCCCUGAAGGGCAAAUCAGUUGUGUAAAGCAGAACAGCUCCAGCAGGAGACAAUGAUGGCAAUGUGUCACCAGAAACCCAGAAGCCAGGGUGCCAGAGUGCUGGUGGCCCAUGUGGGACAUUAGCAGCUGGGGCUUCUAAUAGUGCUUGUAUCCCCUGUCCUGAAGAUAUUCCCUGCUUACCCCACUAAAAACUACCAGGGACGGACCUUUCUCUCCAUGUGGCUUGUCACAAAGUACUUGGAAAGAUCUGAGUUUAUCCCAAAGGAGAAGUGAACGCUGAGUCCAAAGGAGGAGGGGACGUUGUUUUACAUGUCAGUCAGGACUGUGGCCUGAGAAAAUGUAUCCCAAAUCUGCUGCAGCUCAAGACACAACACCAACUUCACCCCAUCACUGCUUCGCUGAGCAACACAGGAGUAUGUUGCCUUCCUUGCAAAUCAGUCCCUCAGGUCUCUCAAAGUGCCUGCUGCUCCCUGAGAGGUGCCUCCAGGUGGACACUGUCUUGCAGGGUGCAAGGUCUCAGCGUAGAGCUGACUCUUGACUGCACUGCUGCCUGCCUCAUAUAUUUGCUAAGCCUGGAUUUCACCUCUUAGUGCCCCAACGUAUGUAUGUUGUCCGCAGUCCCAUCUGUGUUGAAACUCUGAAUUCAAGGGAACUAAUGCAUGUAGAAAGGGGAGAAAGAAAGGACCUCUUUGUAGGCCCUUUUCCUGGGUGUAUGGCAGAUUCAUUGGUAAAUUCAUGGAGAAUUCGGCUGUUGAAUUUAAUUUUAUUUCCUCAAACUCUUUGUCAAGGAGUUUCUUCCUUUAAUACAGAAUGCUUUCAAAAAAUUCUGUAACUGGAACAGUUAGCUCAGGAGAUACCGAUGUCCCGCUAGUCCAGGAGUUCACAGAUCUGAGAUCCUUUGCAGUGGGGCAGCAGUUCUGUUGGAACAUAGGCACUGUAUCUAUUUUAAACUUUCUCUCCGAGAUGGUCCUUUAUGGCCACUUUGGAGCAGUGUUUUCCCCAUGAUCGGUUAGCGCUUGUCAGCUGACAGGCAGCCCAACUCCACAAACAGUGUGUCAAUGCAAAAGGCUAUCAUUCUGCAGUCAUGGCAAUAAAUAUCCAAGAGGAAGGAAUCUUUGGUCUCCCUCCCCUUGGUAAGCUAUUUGGACCCUGGUAAUUUAUCACCAUUUAUGGCCUCCUCAAGUGAAUAGUACUGUUAGUUCAGCAUGAAAGAAAACCUGAGAAUGUGAUUUUUUUUUUUUUUCUGUAGGUUCUAGCUGUAUGUGAUGUAUCUUGUUUAGGCUAGCACAUUGCUGUAGUUCAUAUUGCACCACUAGAGAGGCAUUUUUUUACAAGUUAAAGAAUUCUGAAAAAACAGUCUCAUGAUAGGUCCAUAAAAAUAACAAGAGUUCUCAUUUUGAAAUGGUAUGUACAGUGUUUCUUAAAUUAAGGGCAAAUUAUUUAUUUGUCAAUUUUGAAAAAUCAAUGUUUUUCUAUAUCUUAGAAUGUAUUCCCCAAACUAACCUUGUUGUUCAGGGAAGCAAAUAAACAGAACCCUAAAAUGGGAACUCUUUCCAACUGGAAAAAGAAGAUUUCAAUAGAUAAAAAUCAUAGUUCAGACAUUAACACGUCUACACAAAUUUGCUGGGUAUUAUGAGGCAAAGUGGGAUAUAUGCACCUUCUCAGAAAUUAUAGCAACUGUUCCAGGCAGGAUCCGUAGCUGACUGUGAAAUGUAAACAUAGAAAUAGACAUGGUGGUCAUGACAGUUUCACUUGCAAGAAAGCUAUUGAUAUACUUGCUGUUUUUCUGUAAAAGUGCACGUGAUACCAUCCAUACCUAGACAGUCCUUGGGAGAUGCUUGUCUAAAACAGAUCCUUAAAAGCACAGGCUAAAGGAGAUCACGCAAUAUUAUAGAUGUGCUGUUCUACCAUACAGUUUUUCUCAUUCAAGUAUUUCCUUAAUAUUUUCUCCAAAUCCUUUUUACUUCAAAUUAAACUGUAAUACUCCUUGCGAUAUAACCCUCUAAGUCUCUUAAUGAAAGCCUUCUUAAUUUGACAAAAUUAUUUUCAUACUCCCACACCCGGUCUUUACUUUCCUCGUCUCUUGACUUUAAAAAUGACGUUCUGUCCAUACCUUUUUCUAAGUCAUAUUCUUUGUGCUUGUCAUUCUGGCUGCUGUCCUCCUUACUCUACAGAAGGAUUUUUCUUUUUUCACAAGAGUUCUACAAAAUGUGCUUUAUUCAAAGUACUGUAGAGUAUCGCUAAGGUAACCCAUUGCUGAGGAAAGCAAACAUUCAUACCCUGCCACCAUAGAAAGAGUACUUAUACUGACAUUUGCAAUAAUUAGAUAUACCGUUUUUGCAACUGUUUGACAUUGUUGAGGGUGUAUAAACUUGUGCCCCCAACUCCUUUUCUCCCUGGCUCAGACGACAAACCCCGUGCAUUUCUCUGAUUUCGUCC